UUAGUGGCGGACGGGUGAGUAACGCGUGGAAAACCUGCCGUAUACUGGGGGAUAACACUUAGAAAUAGGUGCUAAUACCGCAUAAGCGCACAGCUUCGCAUGAAGCGGUGUGAAAAACUCUGGUGGUAUACGACGGUUCCGCGUCUGAUUAGCUAGUUGGUGGGGUAAUGGCCUACCAAGGCAACGAUCAGUAGCCGGCCUGAGAGGGUGAACGGCCACAUUGGGACUGAGACACGGCCCAAACUCCUACGGGAGGCAGCAG
rnacentral:rRNA from 1 species